ensembl:lncRNA
AAGGCAGAGCCCUCUUGGUAGCUGCACUGUCAGGAAGAGAAAACAGGUGCCAUUGACUUUGCCUUUCCUGGAGAAUAUUCCCUGUGGGAGAAUAUUCUGUGAGUCCUGCAGGACCAUAUAACGAACUGGACGUGGAGGGAGAUGAGGAACGAGAAGGAGCGUGCAACAGCAGGGGGACAUCUAGAGAGCAGGAGGAACUGAAGGGACGAGCAGUCAGCCUUACUGUGCAGACAAAGUUCAUCCCAAGAAGGGAGGAGGGCGUUAAAGACUGACUCAUCUACUGUGUGGGGUGAGCACGAGUCUGCCAUCCUGGAACUAGACAGCUCUCCUGGCCUGGACAUUUGUCAGCAUGUAACUCUCUGUGAGCACGACACUUAAUCCCUGUAUGCCUCGAUUUCCUGAGACAGGAGUUAGAAGCCUACUAUGAUGAGUUCCCGUGACCAAUGAAAUCGCAUAUAUCCACCAACAGGGGCGUAAGGGUUAAUCAGUGUUUCUUCCUUUCUUCGCCCCAUUUUAAUUACCCUGUUUAAUUUCAAAUACAUGAAGAUAUUGUUAACAUUUUGUUCUAUAC